AGGACGAACGCUGGCGGCGUGCUUAACACAUGCAAGUCGAACGGUAAGGCCCUUCGGGGUACACGAGUGGCGAACGGGUGAGUAACACGUGGGUGAUCUGCCCUGCACUUCGGGAUAAGCUUGGGAAACUGGGUCUAAUACCGGAUAUGACUACGAAUCGCAUGGUUUGUGGUGGAAAGCUUUUGCGGUGUGGGAUGGGCCCGCGGCCUAUCAGCUUGUUGGUGGGGUGAUGGCCUACCAAGGCGACGACGGGU
rnacentral:rRNA from 1 species